rnacentral:rRNA from 1 species
GAUGAACGCUAGCGGGAGGCCUAACACAUGCAAGUCGAACGGGAUUGAGAGCUUGCUCUCAUGAGAGUGGCGCACGGGUGAGUAACGCGUAUGCAACCUACCUAUAACAGAGGGAUAGCCCAUAGAAAUGUGGAUUAAUACCUCAUAGUUCUUUUGGAUCGCAUGAUUUGAAAGAUAAAGCUCUGGCGGUUAUAGAUGGGCAUGCGUGACAUUAGCUAGUUGGUGAGGUAACGGCUCACCAAGGCGACGAUGUCUAGGGGUUCUGAGAGGAUGAUCCCCCAACUGGUACUGAGACACGGACCAGACUCCUACGGGAGCAGCAGUGAGGAAUAUUGGUCAAUGGGCGCAAGCCUGAACCAGCCAUCCCGCGUGCAGGAUGACGGCCUAUGGGUUUAAACUGCUUUUAACACCAAAGAAACUUCAGACGUGUCUGAAUCUGACGGUAGUGUAUGAAUAAGC